rnacentral:lncRNA from 1 species
GGAACUCCACUAUGGAGAAGUUCUUUGGCAACAGGAAUCCAAGGUAUUCUUCCUCUGGCCCCUCCACCAGCCAGAGGGGGUCCUUCCAGCGCCCUAGAGGGCAGUGCUGGGAUGCUCCUAGCCUCAGUUCUUUCAGACAGCGCAAAAGCAUCAGAGCUUUUGGAAAGAUCCACAAGGCUCCGAGCAGAGAUGGUGUUGCCACGGUUCAGAAAACGGUCAGAUUUGCAGAUGAUGUCACGAAUGACAGAGACAGAAAUAACAGACCUUUCUCCGGUAGUUCCAGCUAUUCAUCAACAGAAGGUGAAGACAAGGAAAAGUGCUUGUUGUUUGUGAGUUAAUUUUCCUGAUCAGAAUUGUUUUUGUGUACUGUUUCUAUUUCAAUGUUUCUAUGGCGUACCUGUCACCAUUUUAUUUGGACAUUUUGUGGAGACAACUAAAGUAUGGCCCUUUGGUUGGUUAUAAUUUCCUGAUAUGAGAUUUUCACACUCUGAGCUAUUUAUGUUGAUUUCCGUAUCUCACCUUUCCUUGUGCUUGUCUUUCUGUUUCAUUUCCUUCAGUGUUUACUAAUUUGGCCUUAUUUUUCAGAAAUUGUGCAUUGUUGUGCUUAUAUCUGGAUAGUUCUCUGAUUAUUUUUAUUUACUGUGUGUUGUUUUCCAAUACUUUUCUAGGUAAAACAGCUUAACAUUCAGGAAGAAGUGCUAACACAGCCCUUUCAUCUCAACACAGAGGUAGAGGAGACUGGCAGUUCUCUGAAUUUGAGGCCAUCCUGGACUAUAACAGCCAGAGCUGACAAAGAAAUCUUGUCUCAAACAAACAGGCAAACAAGCAAAGAGACAAACAAAUAGCUCCCCACUCCCCAAACAAUGUAGCCUUUAAUUUUAUAUUACCUUGGUUAUUUGUAUACAAGAGAAGAUGUCUCCACAUGUAGAUUUCCAUCUGAGGAAACAAACAUCUUAGCUUGAUGUUAUUUAUCCUUGAAUAGCUUGAACUAAACACUUCUUAGGGGAAUAUAAUUUACUAAAGAACACAGUGGUAAUUUAUUCUUAGAGAUAUUCUUCUUAUAUGUAGUAUAUAUUAUUAUAGGUAAUAUUCAGUUGAUAUUUAGUAAAUUGUUUCAUGAGAUAUAAAAGUAUAAAUGAUUACCUUAUGUACUUUUGUAUUUCUCCCCAUUUUGCCCAUUAUUGCAAUUUGAGUAACAGAGAAAAUAAUUUUUUUAAAUGAACAAUAUAUUUUGAUAUUAGAAUUGCCAACUAUUCUUAUUUUAGGUUUUAGGGCCACCAGAGUCCUGUUGUAGUAUCUGUUAACUACAGUUACCACAGAGUCACAGUAAAUACAUGC